rnacentral:rRNA from 1 species
GAUGAACGCUGGCUACAGGCUUAACACAUGCAAGUCGUGGGGAAACGGCAUUAUGUGCUUGCACAUUCUGGACGUCGACCGGCGCACGGGUGAGUAUCGCGUAUCCAACCUGCCCCUUACUUGGGGAUACCCCGUUGAAAGACGGCCUAAUACCCGAUGUGUUUCAUUGACGGCAUCCGAUAUGAAACAAAGGUUUUUCCGGUAAGGGAUGGGGAUGCGUCUGAUUAGCUAGUUGGCGGGGCAACGGCCCACCAAGGCGACGAUCAGUAGGGGUUCUGAGAGGAAGGUCCCCCACAUUGGAACUGAGACACGGUCCAAACUCCUACGGGAGGCAGCAGUGAGGAAUAUUGGUCAAUGGACGCAAGUCUGAACCAGCCAAGUAGCGUGCAGGAUGACGGCCCUAUGGGUUGUAAACUGCUUUUAUGUGGGAAUAAAGUGGCGCACGUGUGCGCCA